UGAGGAAUAUUGCACAAUGGGCGAAAGCCUGAUGCAGCAACGCCGCGUGGGGGACGAAGGCCUUCGGGUUGUAAACCCCUUUUCUGCGGGAAGAGAAAGGACGGUACCGCAGGAAUAAGUCACGGCUAACUACGUGCCAGCAGCCGCGGUAAAACGUAGGUGGCGAACGUUAUCCGGAUUUACUGGGCGUAAAGCGCUCGCAGGCGGCUUCGUAAGUCUGACGUGAAAGCCCCCGGCUUAACUGGGGGAGGUCGUUGGAUACUGCGGAGCUUGAGGACGGAAGAGGAGAGUGGAAUUCCCGGUGUAGCGGUGGAAUGCGUAGAUAUCGGGAGGAACUCCAGUGGCGAAGGCGACUCUCUGGUCCGUUCCUGACGCUCAGGAGCGAAAGCGUGGGGAGCGAACAGGAUUAAAUACCCUGGUAGUCCACGCUGUAAACGAUGUGAACUAGGUGUUGGCGCUGUUAUGGCGUCAGUGCCGUANCUAACGCGUUAAGU
rnacentral:rRNA from 1 species